rnacentral:tRNA from 4 species
GGGUGGAUAGCUCAGCGGCAGAGCAUCGCCCUUACACGGCGGGGAUCACAGGUUCAAAUCCUGUUCCACCCA